CCUCCCAGACGUGGGAGAGGACCGGGACAGUCCCACAUGCAGACGCCUUCCUGCCCAGCAUCCCUUUUCCCAGGAAUUGGGUCUCAACCCAUGAAGGACGUCACUGGGAUGCCUAUAUCCCUGGAGGAGGGACUGCAGCGGCUGCAGGACACCGAGUAGACCAGGCCAGAGGACACGAAGGGACGUGUCUAUGGUGGUGAUCAUGGCGCCUCACUUUCUCUCCUGUUAAAGUGGAAAACAUGCACCUGUGUCAGAACUGGAGACUGCAGGUUCCAUCCCCGGCUCUGCCACCUAUGUUCUGGAAGCUUUGCUAGUCCUCUCAGCUCUCUAAAUGGGUGUACUGAGAGAGACGGAGGUGGUGGGACAUGCUGGGGCCUCUGAGGACAGGUUUCCUGGGAUGAUUAAAUGAAGUAAUGUGACCUCUAGAGAAACACCACCUCCUCCCCCAAAGCUACUGAACUAAUAAUACAAAGUAAAAAUAUAAAAAUGA